rnacentral:rRNA from 1 species
CCCUUUCUGGAUAUACUUUAUAAACCCAUUCUGAGUACCUUACCCGUUGCUUCCGUGUGGCAGUGACUUCGGUCCCUCCAACGAUGACGUCAGUCAUUCGAGGAGAGUACUCACGGGAGGUAUACAUUAAACUCUUGCAUUACCAUGUCAUCUGUCUGAUUAUGUUUAUAACAAAUUAUUAAAACUUUCAACAACGGAUCUCUUGGUUCUCGCAUCGAUGAAGAACGCAGCGAAAUGCGAUAAGUAGUGUGAAUUGCAGAAUUCAGUGAAUCAUCGAAUCUUUGAACGCACAUUGCGCCUCCUGGUAUUCCGGGAGGCAUGCCUGUUCGAGCGUCAUUAAAAACCACUCAAGCUCUUUUGCUUGGUUAUGGAAGAGGAGUAUGUUAGACAUUCUCCCUUUCGAAAUUCAAAGGCGGAAAGCCCCAUGUGCCCCGGCGUAGUAAGUUUUCUUUCGCUUGGAACAUGAGGUGAUCCUGCCACAAACCCCCAAUUUUUCUAGGUUGACCUCGGAUCAGGUAGGGAUACCCGCUGAACUUAAGCAUAUCAAUAAGCGGAGGAAAAGAAACCAACAGGGAUUGCCUUAGUAACUGCGAGUGAAGCGGCAAAAGCUCAAAUUUGAAAUCUGGCGUCUUCGGCGUCCGAGUUGUAAUUUGGAGGGGCAUCUUCGGAGGUGGCGCCGUCCUAAGUUCCUUGGAACAGGACGUCAUAGAGGGUGAGAAUCCCGUGCCUGGAUGGCUGUCCAUCUCCAUGUGAAGUGUCUCCGACGAGUCGAGUUGUUUGGGAAUGCAGCUCAAAAUGGGUGGUAAAAUUUCAUCUAAAGCUAAAUAUUGGCGAGAGACCGAUAGCGCACAAGUAGAGUGAUCGAAAGAUGAAAAGCACUUUGAAAAGAGAGUUAAAAAGUACGUGAAAUUGUUGAAAGGGAAGCGCUUGAGAUCGGACUCAAUCUUUGGUGAUCAGCCG